rnacentral:rRNA from 1 species
GAUGAACGCUGGCGGCGUGCCUAAUACAUGCAAGUCGAGCGAACAGACGAGGAGCUUGCUCCUCUGACGUUAGCGGCGGACGGGUGAGUAACACGUGGAUAACCUACCUAUAAGACUGGGAUAACUUCGGGAAACCGGAGCUAAUACCGGAUAAUAUAUUGAACCGCAUGGUUCAAUAGUGAAAGACGGUUUUGCUGUCACUUAUAGAUGGAUCCGCGCCGCAUUAGCUAGUUGGUAAGGUAACGGCUUACCAAGGCGACGAUGCGUAGCCGACCUGAGAGGGUGAUCGGCCACACUGGAACUGAGACACGGUCCAGACUCCUACGGGAGGCAGCAGUAGGGAGUCUUCCGCAAUGGGCGAAAGCCUGACGGAGCAACGCCGCGUGAGUGAUGAAGGUCUUCGGAUCGUAAAACUCUGUUAUUAGGGAAGAACAAAUGUGUAAGUAACUAUGCACGUCUUGACGGUACCUAAUCAGAAAGCCACGGCUAACUACGUG